rnacentral:rRNA from 1 species
UGCGCAGGUGGGCUUGUAAGUCAGUGGUGAAAUACUGCCGCUUAACGGUAGAACUGCCAUUGAUACUGCAAGUCUUGAAUAUGGUUGAGGUAGGCGGAAUGUGUUGUGUAGCGGUGAAAUGCAUAGAUAUGACACAGAACGCCGAUUGCGAAGGCAGCUUACUAAGCCAUUAUUGACGCUGAGGCACGAAAGCGUGGGGAGCGAACAGGAUUAGAUACCCUGGUAGUCC